rnacentral:lncRNA from 1 species
AAUGGGGAGUGUGUUUUUCGUUCGACCCACGUGAAAGUGAAAAACAGAUUUGCUUGAGGGCAAGCAAAAGACAAGUGUAGGGAUGUGAUGGGUUGGCAUUGGCGCGUUUAAGGUGCAUUUUGGAGAUUUACUGAAGUUUUGGGGGAUGCUAGAGAGAACAUAAUUGAAGAAAAUGCAAAAAAGAGGCAAAACUGAGCUGAACUCUGCGCCAGAUGCAGUCCAAACUUCAUUUUGGCUUAUCCUGAGCUAGAAAAUGAGUUUCGGGGCUUAUAAUAUAUGCAUUUGGGGUAGCUCGACGAGACGAAUCAAAAUAUACGAUUUUGAAGGGCCAAAAAUUGACGCAUUAUCUGCUGCACACCGGCUGAUUAGUAAAAACGGGAUUUUUUGAGAGAAAAAGUAAAUUUUGGAAAAGGGGGAGUUGCACUUUAUUAUUCCUUCAACUCCCAUUC